AUAAUUGAUUAUAUUAUGUAAUUGGCAUUCCAUUAUAUCAAAUUUUUUUGUGUUACCAAACAUUGUAAUCAAAUAUGCAAUGCAAUUACGAUUAUAUUGCAAUUUUAAUUACAUUAUACCAAACAUAACCUAAGAGUAAAUAUAGCACUAUAUUUGGAAGUUUUGGUUGCUUAGGAAAGGAAAGGAUUGUGUUUGAUCCAUGGGAUAGGAAAAGAAAUGAGACGUUAAGUGAUGUUUCAUGUUUAGAAGUUGGAAGGGAUAAAAAACGAUUUUAAGCUCUAAGGUUAAAAUAGUUAUAUUUUAAAAAAAGAUUAUUUUUAAUGUUGAGGAAGUGAUAAGUCUUAGUUCCUCAAUGUUGACAAGAAAGCAAAGUGGGGUUUGAAGGGAUAACUAUUCCUUGCAUAUACUUUCUUUUUCAAACCUAUUAAACCCCUAAACAAGGGAAAACGCUUAUCCUUAACAUUUUCCUAUUCUUAUCUCUUCAUAUCCCUCCAUCCAAUCGAAGUGAAAUGUUAAAAACUUUUUAAUUCUUUUUGUGUAAUUAUCUGUUUCCUGUUUCACAGAUUAUUGUAAUAUGAGACCUAACUUAGACUAAUGAAGCAACUGGAUGGUUCAAAUGGAAGAAAUAAUUAUCUUCUCUAAUUUUAUUCUUGGAGCCACAUUUAUCUUCAGCUAUUAUCUUUGAGCUCAUUUAUUUUUCCUGUAGAGCAUAUACAGCGGUAGAGCUGAGGAAGAAAUUACAUGGGAAGAGAUUUCCUCCUGAUAUUGUGGAGGCAUUGAUAACCGAUUUCCAGAGCAGGUGUAGACGACUUGUUAUUUGAAAAGAAGUGUUUUUCAGAUUAUCCUAUAAUUUUCUUAUGUGACAUGUGGAUAUUGCAUUUUAAACAUGUGAUAACAUUUGUUGUUUUUAUCGAGGAAUUCUUAUUCUUCCACAAGAAUUAAACUAUAGAUCCUAGUGGAUGCCUUAUACAAGACUUGACUUUCUCCAUUUAUUGUAGAGGGUUGAUCAAUGAUAGCUUGUACGCAGAAACAUUUUCUCGAUCUAGAUGGUCUUCCUCAAGCUGGGGACCCAGGCGGAUCAAGCAAGCAUUGUUCAGGAAGGGAGUCAGCAAUGCAGAUGCAGAGAAGGCAAUAAAACUGGUUUUUGAGGAUGGUGAAUGUACUGGUCAAGAAUCAAAACAUGGCAUGUCAAAGCUUUCUAUGAAUCAUAUUUUUGUUCAGGCUUCAAAACAAUGGCUUCGAGGUAAGGAUGUUCCCAAGGAGACACGUAAAUCAAGAAUCAUUCGGUGGCUUCAGUAUCGUGGUUUCAGCUGGGGUGUUAUUAGUUUAAUAUUGAAAAAGUUAGAAUCUCAGUAUACUUCCUAGAGCAUAAUAAGUAUCUAUCUCCCCUGUUACGACACAAGGAAUGCGGGCCAUCUCAGUUUCAGCUAAUGGUCCGUACUGUCGCCAAGGAAAAUAAGUUGCUCAAUGUGGGUAAGUUGCUGUUUCCAUUAGCACUACACUACUGUGGCCAAAAAGUUGUCCGCUUCACCCAUUCACCAUGCCUGAUUUCACCUUGCGUCAUUGUGCUCAAGUGCCAUCUAAUCUAUGCAGAACAAAGUCCAUCCUAAUUAGGAAACAGCCCCAAGACAAAGCAGAAAGUGGUACAACUAGAUGUGCUUGAUCACCAUUGUUUUUUUACUGAUAAUGGAAGAAUUCAUGUACCCAGUUAGUGCAAACAUUUCAUCCAGAUCUUGCUGUUGAGUUGAUGUAGAUGUCAAUUUGAUUUCUGCUUCGAGAUAAAAUCUUCUAUCAGUUAAUGCAAAUAUUUCAGCCAGAUCUUGCUGUUGACAAGAUUUUUUACUUCUACUUGAUACAAAUUGCAAAUUAAUCGAACUUGAAAGUACCCAAUUGCUGUUUAACAGUAUAGAAAGCUGAUAUGUUAAUUUAUCGGUCCUAGAAGAGGAUUAGAUUGGUAUGUUAACUUAUCGGUCCUAGAAGGGGAUUAGAUUGGCUUAGUUGUCUGUUCUGACUAUAAACUUCAUGUGGGUCUCAAAUUCAAUACUGUUGCAUGUGAGCUAGUUGCUUAUUCAUUGUUAUGCUAUUCA
rnacentral:misc_RNA from 1 species